CUUUUUUUAUUGGCUCCAUAAAAAUUAGUGUUAAAAGAAGAGAGAAAGUAGUUGCAUAGUUUUUUAUGAUAGAUAGAUGUGACUAGUCGACUCCGCAGUCUUUGUUUUGAUCAACAUUGUUUAGCCUUUCAAGAAUGAGUACCAUGUAGAACGAAUACCAAAGAAUACCAAAUAUUUGAUACAACUAAAUAAUGCAAUUAAUACGAUUACAUUUACUAUAGUAUCAUGCGUUAUAUAAUUGUAGUUAACGUACAUUUUGACUUCAAAGUCGGGUUUGGCGCAAAUUUGAUAAUAAUGUGUCUUCAGGUCGGGUCUUGUUUAAAAAAUAAACUACACAUACUUAGCUCAUGCAUGAAAUGCAAUAUCCAAUGGAUCAAUUUCAUGUGACGUAAAAGCACACACUGAACACAUGGACCGUAAACACACAAACCAAAGCACAUAAAAUAUACAUCAAAACAAACAUGUAGAAAUCAAUUUGCAGUUAAUGUUAACUUGUUAAUGCGAUAGUUUCCAACUUAACCCCAAACGUGACAACAAUAGCUAAGAUGAGAUAAGAAUAAUGCAUAGUAAAUACUCCUAAGUGUAACUUUAUUGACAUAAUGACGAAUUAUUGAAAGUAAACCGUUAGCUCGAGAUUACCGUUAGAUCAAUAUGAAUGUUCCAUGUAAGAUUACAACCUAUUAUUACACCAAGGUAUUAAAUAACUCUUGAAGGAUAUAGCCGUUUAUUAUUAAUUUUGAUUUUGAUUUCAACAUUUUUAAAGAAAUUGUUUUUUCUUGGAGAUGAAAAAUAAAUUAGUUCAGUUUUUUCGCUUUUGACACUUAUUAGGUUAGCAUUUGACCAGUGAACUGUACCUUUUAGAUCCGAAUUAAAAUUUUUACAUAAGGAAUGAUACGAUUAGUUGAUGUGCAAGAGAUUUAUAUCAUCAGCAAACAGAUGGACUAAAGAGAAGUGAACAGAGUUGAUUAGGUCGUUAACGUUAGGUCGUUAACGUAGAUUGAAAACAAAAAAGGACCUAGAACAGAAACUUGAGGAACACCACUCAAAACUGAUUUAUAACUAGAAUUGAAACCAUUCAUACUUACAAAUUGUUUUUGAUCUGCAAGAUAAGAUCGAAACCAGUCAUUUACAAUACCACGAAAUCCAUAUCAAAAUCCUAUGGUCAACAGUAUCGAAAGCUUUUUGUAAAUCGAUAAAAACACCACAAACGAUAUGGCCAGUAUCAAGAGCUUUCCUGAUUUUUUCCGUUAUACUUAUUAAUGCAAGGCAAGUAGAAUGUUUUGAUCGAAAACCAAAUUGAAAAUCAUUUAAACAAUUAAAUGAGUUUAGAAAAGAGUACACUUAAGAAUACCUAAGUUUUUCGAGAAGCCUACUAAUAUUAGAUAAAAAAGAAAUAGGUCUGUAGUUAGUGCAUGAAAGUUUAGAGCCAUUUUUAAAUAUUGGAAUAUGUAGUAGUUUAUCACCUCCGCCUGAUUUAUCACCUCCCCCAUAGAAAACUCAAAACGAGAUUGCGCUUUUAGUUUAUAGCUGUUAGAAUUGUACCUACGACGCCCGUUUAGCGCAAUAAACUUCAGCAACAACAACUUAAAGAAAAGACAAGGUCAACAAUUCUAGAAAUAAAAUUUACUCGGUCUGUUGUGAUGUUCCAACUCCAUAUUUUUGAAAGUUAUGAUCUUCAUAAAACGCAACGCAAACACUGGUGGAUGAAACAAAAAGGGAUUCAUUAUUAAAAUAGUAACUUAAGAACGUCACAUACUCCAGAAAAAACAGAUUCGUUGUGAAACGUGAUUACUACCGAUAGCGAAUGUUUUGUGUUCUCUCAAAGAAUCCAUUGUUCGGAAAUUUACGAAUGUUACGAUGUAUAAUAUUAUAUUAAUUAGAAAAUACUUAGUAUGUUUUAAUAUA